ensembl:lncRNA
AUUUGAAAGGUGAACCCACUACUUCUGAAUCUAAAUUGAGAACCUUGCAUAUAGGUUCCCUUCCCAGCAGAUGUAGCGCUAAUCCAUCUGUUAUCCUUAAAGGACAAUUCCGGUAUUUUGAACAUUGAGCCCCCUUUCUGGUUUGUUUAGGAUGAAAUAGAGUGGGUAACACCGAAAUUUGAACUAUUAGUCCUUUCUCGGGUAUUUGGCUCAUUUUGAAUCGCUCCUGCCUGCUUCACAAUGGUUGUCUGUGUGCAUACACCAACCUGUCAACCCAGCAACCCUAAAAAAUGUGCAAGUAACCGAGUGGUUAGUGGCAUUCGUGAAGUUUUAAAAAAAAUUAUCGGCGCAAUAUAUGGUUUCCAUCCGUGUUAGUUGCUAAUUGGAACUAUUUUUUCAGAUAGCUCACAACCGCAUAUAAACUUCCGCUCGCUGCGUUACGAUGGUUACACAGCUGGUUACACAGUUCGAUCACCUGUUGACGACAAUAUUCCAGAGGAAGAAGAAGCAUAAUACUAAUAAUAUAUAUAGGCCUAUAUGUAUAUAUAUAAAUAAUAUAAUAUAUAAUAAUAUAUAAUAAUAAUAAUAAGAAGAAGACGUUCAACUUCAUUUUCUGUCGAGUUCAAAACCAAGGCAUCAGCUGUGGUUACCGUGCAGUCGAUUAUGGGAAGAAUUUGUGCGGUCAGAAACUGCGGGAAUAUAUCAAGAAAAAGGAGUUGUCAUCGGCUUCCUCUCAACACCCCUAACAGUUAUAGAGUCAGAAAGUUGUGGCUUUCAUUCCUCGGGUUUGACAUAAACACCCCUGUAAAUGUACUUCGGGAAGCUGACCAUCGCGUUUGCGCCUUUCACUUUCGGCCUGAGGACUACCUUCAGUCAACAAGUCAUCGAAAGAAGUGUCCGAAGAGACUGCAUCUGAAAAGGGCAGCUGUACCGACGCUUUGUGGACCAACGCUAGACGAAGAAGACCUCGGGGCUGUUGGCGGUGUGGUGGACCAGCCUUCUACCUCCAGCAUAUCCUUGGUCCUCACCAGUCCACAGCCACGGCCUCACCAAUCCAAUAAAUCCCCAAGGAAGUCCUUAUCUGGCAGUUACCUUGCUUUCCCUGUGAUCAGGGAGAGGCUCUCACUAUCUCCAGAUGAUUGUGAAACUGAGAUGCUUCAAAUGGACACAAGCAUUUCCUCAGUCAUUGAGGAUGACCCAAAAGACAUGAGCUUCAGCCUCAGUCAACAGUCAAGUUCAAGUGAAACCUCCAGUUCAAGUGCCUCAGAAGAGCAAGGGGAGUGGGAUGAAAGAAAAUGGAUUGUGAACGAGUCUAGCAUCAUGCAACUGUUUAGAACAUGCCAUAUAUGUGCCGCACAAAUCACGGAUAAAAAAGUGACAAAACUAUUUUUCUUCCUAUAAAGGUAUUAAUUGAGAGUAUCACCACUAUUGUACCUGAAACAGGUUUGGCCGGCCAGUAUGAAUACUUUGAAGGCAUUUUUCUCAGUUUCAAUGUUGGCGUAGUUACUGCACUUUGCCUUUGUAGGGCAGUACAGGCAGCCAACUAAAGAUUGAAUGGACAUGUUUGAAUAAUCAUCAUGGCAAGUGGGCAUCAUGUCCUGAUGCAAGAGGAAUGGCACAGAAUAACCUGCUUGUUUCCGCUGCUACGCUUUUCUCUGGAACAACUUUCACUGAAGUACACGAGUGGGCCAGCAUCCUAAACUUGCAACUCUUGAAGAAAUCGCAGUACUACUCCAUCCAAUCCGACUACCUUAUUCCAGUAGUACACUUUGCAUACAAAGAUCAUCAUGAGAAUCUCAUCAGGCGACUUAUUGGACAAAAGGCUGAAGGCGAGUCCAUAGAGCUGUGUGGAGAUGCCAGGUCUGACUCACCAGGUGAGUGUGUUUUUUUUCUUUAAUACAAUAACAUGGAGGUAUGGAUUGUAAGACUGUUGGAAAUGUUUUUCUCUGGAUAGUAAGGAAGACUCACAUGUUGUUACACUAUUACAUUCUACAGGCUACAGCUGCAAGUAUUCCACCUAUUCGUUUCAGCUUCUAUCCAGUAAUGAGAUCAUUCACUUUGAACUACUACAGGUAAAACUAAAAUGCUGCUUGUCUGAUUUGUGAAACUAUACUCUGGGUGACAGAGUAUAGAUAAAGCAUUAUUCAGUGGGUGUAUUGUAUUUGUUUUUUUGCUAUUGCUCAUUCAUUCAUUAGGGGUCCAAGCAAACAGGUUGGAUCCUUAUUGUUUUUGUAAGGAUUUUUAGGGGUCCAAGCCAACAGGUUGGAUCCCUAUUGUUUUUGUAAGGAUUUUUUUUAUACUUCCCCCCGUACUUGUGGGACUACAGCCCAAAACGUAAAUGGUGCACACGCGCCAAUUGCAUGACUAGAUCCAGAAUCGGCACCGCUACUCAGAUAACAAAAUCCAGACACGCCGGCCACUAGGUGGCGCUAUACCAAGGAAUACGCGUUUGCGGCUAUAACUCCCACACCGAACCUCCCAGAGUCCAAAAACUUGUACACACAUAUGCACUGGAGUCUGCUGCAUCUUUUGGCCUAGGCCACGCCCAUUUGCGUCUAGGAAUAUUUUUCGCUAAAUCGCGAAAACCGCUAAACUGU